UACGUAGGGUGCGAGCGUUGUCCGGAAUUAUUGGGCGUAAAGAGCUCGUAGGCGGUCUGUCGCGUCGGUCGUGAAAACUUGGGGCUUAACCCUGAGCUUGCGGUCGAUACGGGCAUGACUGGAGUUCGGUAGGGGAGACUGGAAUUCCUGGUGUAGCGGUGAAAUGCGCAGAUAUCGGGAGGAACACCCGUAGCGAAGGCGGCACUCUGGGCCGUGACUGACGCUGAGGAGCGAAAGCGUGGGGAGCAAACAGG
rnacentral:rRNA from 1 species